rnacentral:rRNA from 1 species
GGGUUAGUAGGCUGGUCAUGCCUCUGGUAUGUACUGGUCUCACUGAUUCCUCCUUCCUGAUGAACCUUAAUGCCAUUAAUUUGGUGUUUUGGGGAAUUUGGACUUUUACCUUGAGAAAGUUAGAGUGUUCAAAGCAGGCCUUUGCCUGAAUACAUUAGCAUGGAAUAAUAGAAUAGGACGUGUGGUUCUAUUUUGUUGGUUUCUGGGAUCGCCGUA